rfam:Ipomoea nil DNA, scaffold: scaffold0457, cultivar: Tokyo-kokei standard.
GUUUGCGUGGCCUAAUGGAUAAGAUGCUUGCCUCCGGAGCGAGAGAUUGUGGGUUCGAGUCCCAUUGUGAACG